GCACCGCUAGCUCAGUUGGUAGAGCACCUGACUCUUAAUCAGGGUGUCCAGGGUUCGAACCCUGGCGGUGCA
rnacentral:tRNA from 1 species